rnacentral:rRNA from 1 species
CCUACGGGCGGCAGCAGUGAGGAAUAUUGGUCAAUGGGCGCGAGCCUGAACCAGCCAAGUCGCGUGAGGGAAGACGGUCCUAUGGAUUGUAAACCUCUUUUGUCGGGGAGCAAAAGACGCCACGCGUGGCGUUCCGAGAGUACCCGAAGAAAAAGCAUCGGCAAACUCCGUGCCAGCAGCCGCGGUAAUACGGAGGAUGCGAGCGUUAUCCGGAUUUAUUGGGUUUAAAGGGUGCGCAGGGGGAAGAUCAAGUCAGGGGGAAAAUUGAGAGGCUAAACCUCAUCGAGCCGUUGAAACUGGUUUGCUUGAGUGAGUGAGAGGUAGGCGGAAUGCGUGGUGUAGCGGUGAAAUGCAUAGAGAUCACGCAGAACUCCGAUUGCGAAGGCAGCAUACCGGCGCUCGACUGACGCUCAGGCACGAAAGUGUGGGGAGCGAACAGGAUUAGAUACCCGAGUAGUC